ensembl:misc_RNA
CUGUGCCUCCUGAUUGCUGAGUGUUCACCUGGACCUUCUGACUACCUUCCCUGUGCUAUUCCAUCAGCCUACAGACCUGGUACCUGGAUUUUUGCCCGAGAUGAUUCCUGCCACCUUACUACUGAAGAAGACACCCAUUCCAGUGGACCACUGUGACCCAGGAGGCAUUCAGCCAUCAUGAUGUGGCCUUUACCUCCACUCCUGUCCUGUUCUACCCAGAUUCAGCACAGCCCUUUA